rnacentral:rRNA from 1 species
AAACUAACAAGGAUUCCCCUAGUAACGGCGAGUGAACCGGGAAGAGCUCAAAUUUGAAAUCUGGCGUGCUCAGUGCGUCCGAGUUGUAAUCUAUAGAGUCGUUUUCCGUGCCGGACUGUGUCCAAGUCCCUUGGAACAGGGUAUCAAAGAGGGUGAUAAUCCCGUACUUGACACAAUGACCGGUGCUCUGUGAUACGUCUUCUACGAGUCGAGUUGUUUGGGAAUGCAGCUCAAAAUGGGUGGUGAGUUCCAUCUAAAGCUAAAUAUUGGCGAGAGACCGAUAGCGAACAAGUACCGUGAGGGAAAGAUGAAAAGCACUUUGGAAAGAGAGUUAAACAGUGCGUGAAAUUGUUAAAAGGGAAACGAUUGAAGUCAGUCGUGACUGAGAGGCUCAGCCGGUUCUGCCGGUGUAUUCCCCUCAGUCGGGUCAACAUCAGUUUUGUUCGGUGGAUAAGGGCAGUUGGAAGGUGGCACCCUCGGGUGUGUUAUAGCCAGCUGUCGCAUACAUCGGAUGAGACUGAGGAAUGCAGCUCGCCUUUAUGGCCGGGGUUCGCCCACGUUCGAGCUUAGGAUGUUGACAUAAUGGCUUUAAACGAC